rnacentral:lncRNA from 1 species
AUAAGCUAAACGUCUUGUUGCAGUAGCUACAUAGUCUCUACUUCCUUGGCUGCGUGUACAGCAACAAGAUAUCUGCAAUAUGAAACUGCUUUCAAUGGUUCUGGCCUUAGUGGUGGCCCUGUCAUGCUUAGUGAACUGGAGCAGCGCCAUGCCUGAGCCUAACCCAGUGGCUGACCCUGACCCCGUUGCUGACCCUGGCUACCGCCACUUCGGUGGAUACGGAUAUGGGGGUCGCGGAUACGGGGGUUAUGGAUACGGUGGAUAUCGCGGUCGCUUUUACGGAUAAAGAUAUUCCUAACACGGGACUCCUAUCUAACGCUCUACGAAAAACGUUAAGAAUGAAACUAUGAAACGAAUAAAAAUUCCUCUCCAGCAUUUCUGAAAUAAAUACUUUAACUGAA